UACGUAGGGUGCAAGCGUUGUCCGGAAUUAUUGGGCGUAAAGAGCUCGUAGGCGGUUCGUCACGUCGGCUGUGAAAUCCCGAGGCUCAACCUCGGGUCUGCAGUCGAUACGGGCGGACUGGAGUACUGCAGGGGAGACUGGAAUUCCUGGUGUAGCGGUGAAAAUGCGCAGAUAUCAGGAGGAACACCGGUGGCGAAGGCGGGUCUCUGGGCAGUAACUGACGUGAGGAGCGAAAGCGUGGGGGAGCGAACAGG
rnacentral:rRNA from 1 species